UUCUAGAGCUAAUACAUGCAGCAAGCCUUGACCCUUACGGGCAAGGCGCAGUUAUUAGAUCAAAAACCAAUCGGUUGUACUUUCGGGUGCAGCCGUUACUUUGGUGACUCUGAGUAACCACAGCGAACCGUAUGGCCUCGUGCUCGACGGUCUGUCAGUCAAGCAACUGCCUUAUCAGCUUGUUGUUAGGUUAUAUGCCUAACAAGGCUUCAACGGGUAACGAACGAUCGGGGUCGGAUAUCGGAGAGGGAGCUUGAGAAACGGCUACCACUUCCAAGGAAGGCAGCAGGCGCGCAAAUUACCCACUCUCGGCAUGAGGAGGUAGCGAUAAAAUGUAUCGAUGCGGGGCCUUUAGUGCCUUCGUAAUCGGAAUGAGUACACUUUAAAUCCUAUAACGAGGACCUAUUGGAGGGCAAGUCUGGUGCCAGCAGCCGCGGUAAUUCCAGCUCCAAUAGCGUAUAUUAAUGCUGCUGCGGUUAAAAAGCUCGUAGUCGGAUCUGGGUUACCGGCGGGUACCGCAUGUUGCUUCAUGCAGCAUGUCGUGUACUAUACGUGUCGCUUCGGCGGCACUGCCAGUGUAAUGCUGUCUCGUGUAGGCACGUUAUGCUGGUCGCCGGAACCACGGGCCGGGUUGAGCAGCAUGCUCUUAAUUGAGUGUGUUGUUUACUCGGUGCGUUUACUUUGAAAAAAUUGGAGUGCUCAAAGCAAGCGUACAGUCGCUAUGCGGCUUGAACAGUGGUGCAUGGAAUAAUGGAAUAGGGCCUCGGUUCUAUUUUGUUGGUUUUAAGAUAUCGAGGUAAUGAUUAAGAGGGACAGACGGGGACGUUUGUAUUGCGACGUUAGAGGUGAAAUUCUUGGAUCGUCGCAAGACACACUAA
rnacentral:rRNA from 1 species